GGAGGGAUGGCCGAGCGGACGAUGGCGGCGGUCUUGAAAACCGCUAUACGGGCGACUGUAUCGUGGGUUCGAAUCCCACUCCCUCCGCCA
rnacentral:tRNA from 1 species